CGAGGGAAAGAGCGCGCAGCGGCGGACGGAGGAGAGGAGGGGCGCUGGGGCGUGGUGCAGAAGAGAGUCAGCGGGUGAGCGGGGCGGGGGCUAACUUGGGAUCGGCGGUGAGGAGCGACCGGUAGGAGGGGCAGGUGCCGGUGGUGCGCGUAGCGGCGGUCUCCCGUAGCGGUCCACACGCGCACGGAGGCGCCCAAGCGCGGCGUCAACGGCCUCCGCACCCGCGGCGCCCAGUUGGAGGAGCCCCUGCUACCCGCGGUGUUCGGAGCAGCCUCCAGCGUAGAGGUAGGCGGUGCCGAGGCCGCGAGCAGGAGGAGUGGCUGCCAGCGGAGAGGUAGACGGUGCCGUCGCCACGAGCAAGAGGAGGAACCGAUAGGCGGAAGGGUAGGCGGUACCGACACCGGAGGUUCGAAACCCAACACUACCGAAUCGACGUGGUACUGCAACCCAGAGAACAAGAAUAGCAGCAACUACACAGUCUAGACAACGACACGAUCGACUUGACAUC
rnacentral:rRNA from 1 species